CGUCGCGAGACAGUUCGGUCUCUAUCCGUCGUGGGCGCAGGAAGAUUGAGGGGAGUCAUCUUCAGUACGAGAGGACCGAGAUGGCUUGACCGCUGGUGCGUCAGUUGGCCUGCCCGGGCCAGAGCUGAGUAGCUACGUCAAGAAAGGAGAAGCGCUGAAAGCAUCUAAGCGCGAAGCCGACCCCAAGAAGAGUCUUCCCGCUCUCUCUGAGAGGAGGGAGCCAAGACCCCAGAAAGAAGAUCUGGUAGAUAGACCGUGCGUGGACGUCUGGUAACAGGCGAAGCGGAACGGGACUAAUGGUCGAACGGCUUGUUUC
rnacentral:rRNA from 1 species